rnacentral:rRNA from 1 species
CCUACGGGUGGCAGCAGUGAGGAAUAUUGGUCAAUGGUCGGGAGACUGAACCAGCCAAGCCGCGUGAGGGAUGAAGGUACAGAGUAUCGUAAACCUCUUUUGUCAGGGAACACAGGCGGGGACGUGUCCCCGGAUGAGUGUACCUGAAGAUAAAGCAUAGGCUAAGUCCGUGCCAGCAGCCGCGGUAAUACGGAGGAUGCGAGCGUUAUCCGGAUUUAUUGGGCUUAAGGGGUGCGCAGGCGGUCUGAUAAGUCUGCGGGCAAAGGCCGGGGCUCAACCCCGGCCCGCCGUUGAAACUGGCAGACUCGAGUUGGAGAGAGGAGAGCGGAAUGCGCGGUGUAGCGGUGAAAUGCGUAGAUAUAGCGAGGAACUCCGAUUGCGAAGGCAGCAUGCCGG